UGUCCUGGGCCCUCUGACCUACAGUAUCCAACAUUCUCAAGUGCUAGGUUCCCUGGCCUCAAGCUUUGCCCUUCUUAGGCUCAGGCCCUUCUAGCCCCCAAUCCAAGUCCUGCCCUUCCUAGGCUUUUGGGCCACUGGCCCCCAGUCUGUGUCUCUUUGGCAUUAACAGAAAAAUUUUUCCUCAUGGACGCUAUAGGAUUGCACCUCUGGGUGUGCACCACCUCCCCACCCCUGACAGGCACUACAAGAUCACCCCUCUUGGGUGCUACAAGAUCACCCCUCCGGGCAUUCAGGGAUCAGUAGCCCUCCACCCCCCAGGUGUUAUGGGACCUCCAAGCCACCCCUCACAGUCCCCUCAAACCACCUUGUCUUCCUUUCAGUAUCUAGUCCCCCAUGGGCACCAGACCCUCUCAGUCCUCCCAGUCAACAGACAAAGCUGCAGGUACCUAGUCCCCCCAAGAUGCCAGACCCUUCUGGUCUGCCCCCAGGCA